rnacentral:rRNA from 1 species
UCCAGACUCCUACGGGAGGCAGCAGUGGGGAAUAUUGGGCAAUGGGCGAAAGCCUGACCCAGCAAUGCCGCGUGAAUGAAGAAGGUCUUAGGAUUGUAAAAUUCUGUCCUAUGGGAAGAAACAAAUGACGGUACCAUAGGAGGAAGCCCCGGCUAACUACGUGCCAGCAGCCGCGGUAAUACGUAGGUGGCAAGCGUUGUCCGGAUUUAUUGGGCGUAAAGCGAGCGCAGGCGGUUUCUUAAGUCUGAUGUGAAAGCCCCCGGCUCAACCGGGGAGGGUCAUUGGAAACUGGGGGACUUGAGUGCAGAAGAGGAGAGUGGAAUUCCAUGUGUAGCGGUGAAAUGCGUAGAUAUAUGGAGGAACACCAGUGGCGAAGGCGGCUCUCUGGUCUGUAACUGACGCUGAGGCUCGAAAGCGUGGGGAGCAAACAGGAUUAGAUACCCCUGUA